AUUAUUUUUAUAGUGUUUUAAAAAAAAAUAUUUACGCACGUUCAAAAGUAAUUUUACAUUAUAGUAGGUAUUGUGUUUUACAUGAAAAAACGUGUCGUGUUAUUCAUCUUUCUGGUCUUAUGAAGGUUUAAAAAUCAGUACGUUUGGGGCAUAGACAUGUUAAAAAAUGGACUGCGCGUACUUAAAAUGUCUAUGGUUUGGAG